AUUGAACGCUGGCGGCAUGCCUUACACAUGCAAGUCGAACGGCAGCACGGGAGCAAUCCUGGUGGCGAGUGGCGAACGGGUGAGUAAUAUAUCGGAACGUGCCCAGUCGUGGGGGAUAACGUAGCGAAAGCUACGCUAAUACCGCAUACGAUCUAUGGAUGAAAGCGGGGGAUCGCAAGACCUCGCGCGAUUGGAGCGGCCGAUAUCAGAUUAGGUUGUUGGUGGGGUAAAAGCCCACCAAGCCGACGAUCUGUAGCUGGUCUGAGAGGACGACCAGCCACACUGGGACUGAGACACGGCCCAGACUCCUACGGGAGGCAGCAGUGGGGAAUUUUGGACAAUGGGCGCAAGCCUGAUCCAGCAAUGCCGCGUGCAGGAUGAA
rnacentral:rRNA from 1 species